AGGCAGCAGUGGGGAAUUUUGGACAAUGGACGCAAGUCUGAUCCAGCCAUGCCGCGUGCAGGAAGAAGGCCUUCGGGUUGUAAACCGCUUUUGUCAGGGAAGAAACGGCUCGGGUUAAUACCUUGGGCUAAUGACGGUACCUGAAGAAUAAGCACCGGCUAACUACGUGCCAGCAGCCGCGGUAAUACGUAGGGUGCAAGCGUUAAUCGGAAUUACUGGGCGUAAAGCGUGCGCAGGCGGUUAUGCAAGACAGAUGUGAAAUCCCCGGGCUCAACCUGGGAACUGCAUUUGUGACUGCAUGGCUAGAGUACGGUAGAGGGGGAUGGAAUUCCGCGUGUAGCAGUGAAAUGCGUAGAUAUGCGGAGGAACACCGAUGGCGAAGGCAAUCCCCUGGACCUGUACUGACGCUCAUGCACGAAAGCGUGGGGAGCAAACAGGAUUAGAUACCCUGGUAGUCCACGCCCUAAACGAUGUCAACUGGUUGUUGGGAGGGUUUCUUCUCAGUAACGAAGCUAACGCGUGAAGUUGACCGCCUGGGGAGUACGGCCGCAAGGUUGAAACUCAAAAGAAUUGACGG
rnacentral:rRNA from 1 species